UCACCGGAAAAGGUAGACUUGCAAGCACAUCAUGUAGGAAGCCUCAUUUGUGCAGAAGCAUUAACUGUUCAUUAAGAUAUCAUGUGGUAGGCAUCAAAAGAAGGGUUUCCUUUUAUUUCUUUCUCGAGAUGAUUGUGUGGAAUUGCGACUCUCAAGACAUAUCACCAAACAAAGAACGUGUCUUCGUUCCUCUGCAUGGCUAGAGAGCCAAUCUUUGCCGGAAUCACUUUGAGACUCUGCUCCGACGUACUGUCUCUUGGUUGUUAGUCGAAAUGUUUCUUGUGAUCCG
rnacentral:lncRNA from 1 species